rnacentral:ncRNA from 1 species
GAUAGUAAAGGGCAAAAUCACUGAAAAGUGAUGACGCAAAGCUAUAGGGGCCUCUGUUCAUGCUAGUGCAUGUGCAAAGCUAGCCAGCUACCAUC